AUGAGUAUCUUGUGCUGGAACUGUCGAGGCCUUGGGUCGGACUCGACAGUUGGCGAGCUUCGCUGGUUAGUGAAGCUUUACCGGCCCACCCUCCUCUUUGUGUCAGAAACGAAGAUGAGGGAAUCACGUGUACGGAAUUUAAUGUGGUCUUUGGGUUUUAAGGGUUGUUUUGAUGUGGGUAGUGAUGGUCUGAGUGGUGGCCUGGCCUUGUUCUGGUUAGAGUCU
rnacentral:rRNA from 1 species